GUGUCAGCCGCCGCGGUAAUACGAAGGGAGCAAGCGUUGUCCGGAUUUAUUGGGCGUAAAGAGCGUGUAGGCGGCCAGACAGGUCCGUUGUGAAAACUGGAGGCUUAACCUCCAGACGUCGAUGGAAACCGUCUGGCUAGAGUCCGGAAGAGGAGAGUGGAAUUCCUGGUGUAGCGGUGAAAUGCGCAGAUAUCAGGAAGAACACCCGUGGCUAAGGCGGCUCUCUAGUACGGUACUGACGCUGAGACGCGAAAGCGUGGGGAGCGAACAGGAUUAGAAACCCGCGUAGUCC
rnacentral:rRNA from 1 species